rnacentral:misc_RNA from 1 species
GAUGAAGAACGUAGCGAAAUGCGAUAAGUAGUGUGAAUUGCAGAAUUCAGUGAAUCAUCGAAUCUUUGAACGCACAUUGCGCCCCCCGGCAUCCCGGGGAGCAUGCCUGUUCGAGCGUCUCUUGGAAUACCCCUCACGCCGGCGGAGGCGUGGUCAUGGCGGCGGUGGCGUGCCCCGGGAGGGAGGCCACCGCGCUGGAAUCCAUGGGCGGACGCCUGCCGCGUGGCCGAGCGUGAUAAGACGCACUGGCGCUCGCGCGCGGCGAGGCUGCCGGCCCUGGCCCGCUCGUCGGGCGGGGACAGCAACACUUGGGAACUCCUCGAAUCAGGUAAGGAUACCCGCUGAACUUAAGCAUAUCAAUAAGCGGAGGA